UACGGAGGGUGCGAGCGUUAAUCGGAUUUACUGGGCGUAAAGAGCGCGCAGGCGGUCGUGUAAGUCGCGUGUGAAAGCCCCCGGCUCAACUGGGGAGGGUCACGCGAUACUGCUCGACUCGAAGGCAGGAGAGGGAAGUGGAAUUCCCGGUGUAGUGGUGAAAUGCGUAGAUAUCGGGAGGAACACCAGUGGCGAAGGCGACUUCCUGGCCUGUUCUUGACGCUGAGGCGCGAAAGCUAGGGUAGCAAACGGG
rnacentral:rRNA from 1 species